GGGGCUUUAGCUCAGUGGCACAAGCAUCUGCCUGGCAAGCACAAGGUCGUGAAUUCAAGCCCCA
rnacentral:tRNA from 1 species